rnacentral:lncRNA from 1 species
CACAGCAACAGGGGCCACAUGCGUCAGGGAUAAGAACCCCUUCCCCUCCCUUGUCCAAGUGUGCGCUCACCAUUGCUCCAUCUCUAAGGGUGCACCCUUCUAUAGAAGUACCUUGCCUUGCUGAGAAUUAAAAAGAAAAUUUUAUAUUCAGGUGCUAUUUCUUUUGCGGCACCAAAACUUUAUAUAUAACACUUUGGGGGCUCACCCGUGAUUACAUUCCCCUCCUGGGACGGUCUCUGGUUCUCUCUCGUGAGGAGGCAUGCGUCCCGCCCCUUGUGGUGGCCUCAGGGGUGAGAAAUCAGAACCCACCCAGUGUGAGGAAUAACCCAGCUCUCAGCAAUGUGGGGGGAAAGAAAAAAAACAAAACUGGCCAGCAGUGUAGCUUAAAGGAUCCUCACAAACUGUAGCGAUGACUCUGUGCACAGCCCAAGGAAGGAGAAGCUGCAGGAGCCGGUAAAGUAUUUCCCUGGUGUUCGGGACCAAGGGACUUAAAUACACAAGGAAAGGGGACUGGGAGAGGAGAGGAAAUGUAUACAAAACUUUGGAAGCUGGAAAUCAGAAGGUGCGUGGCCGUAUGCUUGACUGACCAGGAGAAGCUGGAACCAGGACAUCACUGCUCAGAAAGUCUGUUAGGAUGAGUGGCUGCACCUCUGAUGAGACAAUGGCUGCACAGAAGCAUUUAAGACUCUGCACAGGAUCCAUCAGCCAACUGCACCACAGGCCAUUAUCAGAAGCAAAAUGACAAUUAGUUUUUACAUUAUGGUUUGAGGCCAAGGGCCUAGAUUAUGAAACCCAGGCAAUGAAACCAUGUCCCAUAAUCCAUCUGAGAGAGCCAGAUGGCUUUUUCUUUUAGCUUAGUCAUUUACUGUUCUAUUUACCCAGAAGUAUUUAUAUAGGUGCAGCUGAAGUGUUUGCUGUGGCACAAACUCCUGCUUGGCUGGCUAAGAGAAAAUCAAGGGCUGUACAAUUGUUCAUGACAACUCUAGCUAAUGAGCUUAGAUUAGUUCGUUUGGCUCCAAGAGCAGGAGUAGUGUUGUUUACAACUCCUGCUAAAGUCAGGGACAAAUUUCAAAUUUCAAGCCACUUUUUUUUUUUUUUUUUUUUUUUUUUUUUAGAGACAGGGUCUCCCUGUUGUCUAGGCUGGAGUACAGUGGCGUGAUCAUGGCCCAUGGUAACCUCAAACUCCUAGGUUCUCUCUCUUCCUCCCACCUCAGCCUCCUGAGUAGCUGGGAGUAUAAGUGUUUGCCACUACACCCGGCUAAUUUUAAUUCUUUUUUUUGGUAGAGAUAGGAUCUCACUUUUUUUUUUUUUUUUUCUGAGACAAAGUCUGGCUCUCUUGCCCAGGCUGGAGUGCGGUGGCAUGAUUUCGGCUCACUGCAACCUCCGCCUCCUGAGUUCAAGCAAUUCUCGUGCCUCAGCCUCUUGAGUAGCUGGGAUUACAGGCAUGCACAACCACACCUGACUAAUUUUUGUAUUUUUUAGUAGAGAUGGAGUUUCAGCAAGUUGUCCAGGCUGGUCUUGAACUCCUGACCUCAGGUGAUCUGCCUGCCUCAGCCUCCCAAAGUGCUGGGAUUACAAGCAUGAGCUACUGCGCCCGACCAGGAUCUCACUAUGUUGUUCAGGCUGGUCUUGAAGUCCUCGGCUCAAGCGAUCCUCCUACCUCAGCCUCCCAAAGUGCUGGGAUUACAGGCGUGAGGCACCAUACCCAGCCUCAAACCACUUUUCUAAUUGUAUUAUUCCUAUUAUAGGAAUCACAGCUUGCAGAGUAUACAUGAAGAGGAAAUGAGGUAUUGCUCCUGAAAGUUCCCUCAAAUAAUUUGUGUUUGCUUCAUUUUGAAGGCUUCUGGAUAUCCUUCACAAGGAUAUAGGAUCCAAUAGAAGGAUGAUAGUUUUAAAUAUUUGGAAAUCUCUGACAAUUGCUCUGAAUACACAGAUCAGUGAUCGUGAGGUAGGGAGGUAUACACCUGAUGUCCAUUUAAGGAGUAGUAUCCUUAGUGCAACAUAGACUGAAUUCCCUCGAGAUUAACAAAUCCCUUGAGUGGAAUUAAACAGUUCCUGCAAGGCAGGCUGAAGUAUCUCUGAAGAGAACAAACUGUCAUGAUCAGGAUAGCCCAACAUUAGCGUUUAUUACCUAUUGACUAGACUUUGCUGAUACGAUUGUGAUGAUCUCAGUAGAAACAUUUCAUUGAUAUAAAGUUAAGAUUAAUUUUUUGCAAGAUUAGAGGUUGGGAUUAAUGACUUGAGGAAAACUCCAGCACCAGAAGGGUUCUGUAAAAGGGAAUUUUCAUUCUAAAGUAUUUAAAGGAACAGCUGUUAUAUUUUUGUCCACAGGGUCAGUUAGGGGAUUACAGAUUCAGCAAUCCAUUGGCUUCAGAGCCACAGCUGUGAUCUGGGAAAAACAUAUGAGAGUUUUGCUUUUUAUUAAGGAAUACAAAAAGAUCACAACGGUCAGAAAUAUCAGGAUGGGUCAGGCGCAGUGGCUCAGGCCUGUAAUCCCAGCACUUUGGGAGGCCGAGGUGGGCAGAUCAAAAGCUCAGGAGUUCGAGACCAGCCUGGCCAACAUAGUGAAACCCCGACUCUACUAAUAAUACAAAAAUUAGCUGGGCGUGGUGGCGCGUGAAAAAAAAAUAUUAGGAUGAAAAUAAGAGGCAUUAUAUUAGUGUUCUAGAAGGUGUUGAAGUGGUACAUUAGACAACAUUGUAUUGUUAAGGGAAAUCAGAAAAUUGAUGACGAAUCUGAAAAUGUAUCUUGUUCCUUCAUCUUCAGGAGAAGCUGUCCAUUUUGGAGCUUCAUUAUUUGUUCCAUAAUCUGGGGUCAGUGCUGUCCAUUUCUGAAGUUGACAACUUCUAGAGAAUUCCUAAGAAUCUUCAGUUUAAGGCUUCAGAUGAAAUGGAUGUUUAGUAGUCAGGAGGAAGAGAUGUGUGUUUUUUUUUUUGAGACGGAGCCUCGCUCUGUUGCCCAGGCUGGAGUACAGUGGCUCAAUCUCAGCUCACUGCAACCUCCGCCUCCUGAGCUCAAGCAAUUCUCCUGCCUCAGCCUCCCUAGUAGCUGGGACUACAGGCACGUGCCGCUGCACCUGGCUAAUUUUUGUAUUUUUAGCAGAGACGGGGUUUCACAGUGUUAGCCAGGAUAGUCUGGAUCUCCUGCCCUUGUGAUCUGCCUGCCUCGGCCUCCCAAAGCGCUGGGAUUACAGGUGUGAGCCACUGCACCUGGCCAAGAUGUGAAUCUUUUGAACUGGGAAAUGUGAAUCAGAGGAACAUUACUUUGGCCUUUUACUGCUAUGUUAUUUGUUAAUAGUACCUGGUAAGGUCCUUUCAUUGUGAUUCAAGGGCAGUCUUUCUCUAGGGUCUUUUCCAGGAAGACUAAACCUCCAUGUUGCAGAUUAUAUAGAGGUUGUUCAGAGGGUGGUUUGGAAAUGCACCUUUUGCUUGUUGAUGAAGUAAUUAAUCAUAUCUGCCUGUAGAAAGAUAAUGUGUUGGCUUCCUAGGACUACCAAAACAGAGUUCCACAAACUGGAUGGCUUAAAACAACAGAAUACAGUUCUGGAGGCCGGAAGCCUGAAAUCAGUGUAUUGAAGAGCCACUCUCCCUCUGAAGGCUCUAGGGAAGAAUCCUUCCUCUCCAUAACUUUUGGUGAUUGUUGGCCACACUUGGGUUUCCUUGGCUUGUAGAACCAUCACUCCAAUCUCUGCCUCCAUCACCACAUGGCCUUCUUUCUGCGUGUGUCUCUGUAUCCAAAUUUCUCUCUCUCUCUCUUUUUUUUUUUGAGACAGAGUCUUGCUCUGUCACCCAGGCUGGAGUGCAGUGGUGCGAUCUUGGCUCACUGCAACCUCUGCCUCUCUGGUUCAAGCGAAUCUCGCGCCUCAGCCUCCCUAGUAGCUGGGAUUACGGUCACACAUCACCAUGCCCGGCUAAUUUUUUGUAUUUUUAGUGGAGACGGGGUUUUGCCAUGUUGCCUGGGCUGGUCUCCAACUCUUGAGCUCAGGCAAUCUGCCCGCCUCAGCCUCCCAAAGUGCUAGGAUUACAGGCAUGAGCCACCGCGCCCAGCCCAAAUUUCUCUCUUCUUAAAAAGAUGUAUGUUGGCUGGGCUCAUGCCUGUAAUCCCAUCACUUUGGGAGGCCAAGGUUGGCAGAUAGCUUGAGCCCAAGAGUUUGAGACCAGCCUGGGCAACAUGGCAAAGCCUUGUCUCUACCAAAAAGUACGAAAAUUAGCUGGGCGUGUCAGUGUGCACCUGUAGUCCCAGCUACUUCGGAGGCUGAGGCAGGAGGGUUGCUUGAGCCCAGGAGGCCGAGGCUGCAGUGAGUUGAGAUCACACCACCGCACUCCAGCCUGGGCAACAGAGUAAGACCCUAUCUCAAAAAAAAAAAAAAAAAAAAAAAAAAAAAAGCACGAGGACACCUUGUAAUUGGAUUAGGGCCUACUGUGAUCCAUUGUAACUUAAUCUUGAUUGCAUCUACCAAGAUCCUAUUUCCAAAUAAGGUCAUAUUCACAGGUAUCAGGGGUUAGGACUCGAGCAUAAAUUUUAGGGGAGACAAUUAAGGUAGAAUAUAAGAUUGGGGGUGAAAUUCCCAAAUACAUGGGGCAAUCUGUUAUUAAUUCAUAAAGAGAUAAUCUGUGGGUUUUCAGAGGGGGUUCAUUUUAUAGACAUUAAAUCUAAUGGUCAUACUUCAGGCUAUGGGAAUUAAGAGUUCCUGAGUGCUUUGCUAAUUUUAUUUUAGAAUUCCAUUAGUUCUAUUUUUUCCCUGAGUAUUAUGGAUAAUGCAUUUUUGAGUAAAAGACAAAACUUUACAGAGUAUUAGUAGUACUAAUAAAAAGAAUAGUACUAAUAAAAAGAGAGAUAAGUGGGAAUUUCCCAAGUGGGAAAAACAAAAGCAAGAUUUUUUUUUUUUUCUUAGAGGCGUAGCUCUCUGGCAAGGAGAAGAUUCAACCAGCUCUGAGAAUAAAUAGACAAUAACCAGAACAUAUUCAUAACCCAGUGCAGGAGGCAUUUAUAUAAAGUCCAUCUGGAGUGUUCAAAGGGCCCUUGAGGUUUGGUUUCUGUCCAUGUCUGAUCUUUACAGUUUUGCCAGGAUUGUGUCACUGGAAGGUAGGAGAUGUUUUGGAAACAUCCUCAGCACUAACUCUAAAUUUAGCCCGCUUAUGUUAGUCUAAUAUUGUUGCCAAUUUAUUUCUGCUAUUACUUGUAAUAUCAUGAAGCAUCUUUACUAAAUUCCAUUUUUCAUUUUUUGGCACUACUGGCAGAUCAUUCUGCAAAUGCCAAAUAUUAUCUAUAUGCAAUGAGCAUCCUAAUUUUUUCCAUUUGCUUUUUUCCAAACCAGGAGCUUGUCUCUGACAGUCAAUAAUAGCCUUUUUGAAUUCUCCAAGGCCUCUCUUUUCUGUGUUAUUACAGGAACAAUUAUGUUUGGCUAAUGUUGCCUUUUUUGGCAUAGUGGUCAGCUAAAGCACUACCAUGAGAUUUGGGAUCCUUGCAUUCUAUAAGCAGGGAAGUAACUAUAAUAAAAGUGGAAGGUCAUAAAUUUAGGGCUCAGCCCUAAGUUUCUAUUUUUAAAAAGAAACCGUCCACAAAUAAAAUUACAUCAGAUGGCCGGGUGCGGUGGCUCACGCCUGUAAUCCCAGCACUUUGGGAGGCCGAGGCAGGCGGAUCACCUGAGGUCAGGAGUUCAAGACCAGCCUGGCCAACAUGGCAAAACCCCGUCUCUACUAUAGAUAAAAAAAUUAGCCAGGCAUGGUGGCAGGUGCCUGUAAUCCUAGCUACUGAGGAGGCUGAGGCAGGAAGAAUUGCUUGAACCUGGGAGGUGGAGGUUGCAGUGAGCCGAGACCAUGCCACUUCACUCCAGCCUGGGUGACAGAGUGAGACUCCAUCUCAAAAAAAAAAAAAAAAAAAUUAUGUCAGGGAUAUCUGGGGAAUUGGUAACAAACCUGUAUAAGAUUCAGGUAAAUCUGUAAGACGGACUUAAUUGUGAAGUUCUCCUUCAGGUAAAGGAAGGGGAGUGGCUAGGUUUAGAGUGUUGCAGUGAUAGUGAUGUUUGAAGGUGAAAGCAUAGCGUUUGAUAGGAUGUCAGGCAGCUAGCUGAGAAAUGCUGACUAUUUUCCAUUAAUAAAGGAGUGUGUACAUGAGAAACCAUUAAGUUUCAUGGAGAAACUAGAACUGAGCCACCUGAGGCUUCCAUAAAUAUGCUGGUGCUGCUAUAGUUCUUAGACAAGGUGACUACAUCUUAGCUACUGGAUCUAAUGGGAAGACUGAAAAAAGGGCCUCUGAUGGUUGUCAGGUAAUUGGGUUAGUAUUCCUAGUGUUUAGACUUUUAAUAACAAAAUAGGAAAAGGGUUUAUGAUAAAAAGGUGACCCCAGGUUUGGGGACUGUUGCAGAGACUUUUUUAGGUUUCGGAAGUCUUAUUAUAUGAAUCUUCCUAGAGUAAGAGGUUCAGGAUCUAAGGACUUAAUUCACGGAAAGGGGUAGCAAUGGCAGAAGAGGUUGGCACCCAUCACCCAUAAUAUAUAGUCACCCUAGGAACCCUCAAAGUUGCUUUGUAAUAGUUCGUUUGGGAAAACUGAAUAAUUUGUAAUUUUUAUGCUGCGAGAGAUUUGCCUUCUUUUGAUGGUGUGUGCCCUAAAUAAUGAACAUUUUGUUGUUGCUAUUGUUGUUGUAGCAGAAUUUUAAUUUCUCUUUGAAGGCUUUAUGUCUCUUCUGAAUGAAGGUCUUUAAUAAAUACACCAAAUCAGUCUUAAAGUUUUGCUCAUUUUUUGAACAUAGUAAAAGAUCAUCUACGUAUUAUAUCUACAUAUUAUAUUAGAAUAGACUCACAAGGAAAUCUCAAAUCCUUGCAGUCCCAAUUAAGAACCUGAGAGAAAUAAGAAAGGAUCUUCAGUAAAUCCCUGAGGCAAAACAGUCCAGGUACAGUAUAUUGUUGAUUUUCCCAUGAGAAGGGAAAUAAAUAUUGACUGCCUAGAUCUAAUGGGAUGCUAAAAAACAUAAGCCCAUCACAGUGAAGUGAGUGGCUUCGGGUAGUAUUGAAGACAAAAUAGAAUUUGAAUUAAGGACCACUGGGAAAAGAGGAAUCACGAUCUUAUUUAUGGACCUCUGGUCUUGCAUAAAUCAAUAUCUAUGCCUGUGAGGUCUUUUACAGAGCAACACUGGAGUACUACAAGGGCUGGUGCAAGGAAUAAUGAAUGAGUCCCUGUUUAUAAAAUCUUCCAUCAUGGGCCUUGAUGCUUUCUUAGCUUCGGGCUUUAAAGGGUAUUGAGCAAGAACAGGUAAAGGUUUAGAAAAGUCGGUUUCUGCUUUGAUGGGCUUGGUCCCCAGAAUGCUUCCCUUAUCAGAACUCUUGUCCCAGAGAGAAUCAAGUACCUUACGUAAUUCCUCAUAUAGACAUUGGGUUAAACGUACAAGGACAAACAAAGUGCCAUAUAAAUUGCAUUAUUAAAUGAUUAUGCCUGGGAGAGUUUUUAGGUGCUUUUAGAAAUAGGCCAUCUGAGGAACAUUUGAGUUGACAGUUCCAUUCACACAAAAGAUUCCUCCUGGCCGGGCAUGGUGGUUCACGCCUGUAAUCCCAGCACUUUGGGAGGCCGAGGCAGGUGGAUCAUGAGGUCAGGAGAUCUAGACCAUCCUGGCUAACAGGAUGAAACCCCGUCUCUACUAAAAAUACAAAAAAAUUAGCCGGGUGUGGUGGCAGAUGCCAGUAGUCCCAGCUACUCAGGAGGCUGAGGCAGGAGAAUGGCGUGAACCCGGGAGGCGGAGCUUGCAGUGAGCUUAGAUUGCACCACUGCACUCCAGCCUAGGUGACAGAGCGAGACUCCGUCUCAAAAAAAAAAAAAAAGCAUCCCUCCCAAUGCAAUAUACUUGUGUGGUGUCACAGAGACGAAAUACAUGCUGACUAGUGAAGAGGCCAAGAAUUACAGUUACAGGUUGCGUAAUGGGAAGUGUUUGAGUGCUGUUUUGAAAUUCCAGAAUAGUUUAGUGACUUUAAGGAAGAUGAGUAGGAAUCAUGGUAGAAUUUAUAGUAGACAGAGUAGCACCUGUACCUAUCAGAAAGAUUUGCUUUCUCCCUCUAUUAUUAAAGAUAAUCCUCCUUAAUGAUUUGAAGGAGAAAUUGGGCACUAUAAUAUUGCCCAGAGUCCCUUCAUUAUUCCUAUUUAGAAUAACAGGGAAGGAGCAUUACUUCUGUUUCAUUUUAGUUAAGAUGGGUUACUUUUCCUAGUGCUCUCCCCUUUGUUAAGUGCAGUUGGCCCUCUGUAUCUGUGGAUGACACAUCCAUGGAUGUAACCAACCUCAGAUAAAAAAAUUUGGAAAAAAAUGAAAAACAAUAAUACAAAAAUAAAAAUACAAAUUUAAAGAACAAUGCAGUAUAACAACAUUGUAUUAGGUAUUAUAAGCAAUCUGGACAUGAUUUAAAGUAUAGGGGAGAAUUUGUAUAGGUUAUAUGCAAGUAGUACACCAUUUUAUUUUAGAGACUUGAGCAUCUGUGGAUUUUGGUGUCUGCAGCAGGUCCUGGAACCAGUCCCCUUCGGAUAUCAAGGGAGGAUUGUACAACAGAGUUUUCUUUGGCUGGUGGCAGAUGAGGAGGUCAGAGAGAUUCAAAGCAUGAGAAGGAUUUGGCAUGUCCUUGCUGGCUUUGAAGAUAGAGGGACCACACUCAAGGACCAGAGAGAAGCCACAGUUGCUGACAGUGACCCUUCACCAACAGCCAGCAAGGAAAUGGACCUCAGCCCUGUGGCUGCAUGAAACUGAAUUCUGCCAGCAACCCCCAAAGAACUUGGAAGUGUGUUCUUUCCCACAGCACCCAGAUGAGAGCCCAGCCAAGCUGACACCCUGAUUUCAGCCCCUGAGUAGAGAAUCCAGUAGAGUCUGCCUGAACUUCUGACCCAUAGAAAUGUGAGAUAAUAAAAGGGUGUUGUUUUAAACCAUUAAAUUUCUAGUAAUUCAUCACAAAGCAAUAGAAAACUAAUACACUCCAUUAAGGUGUCAGCUAGUAAUUCCUCAAGUGCUUUUUAUUAGGAGCUCUGGAGGUAGACAAACUUAAACAUGCAAAUGUAUGAAUCUCUAUUUUAAGCACCUGGUUGAAGAGGAAGAUAUUUUGGGUUAAGAGGUAUGUCUGGCAUCUUAUUUUCAUUUAUUUAUUUAUUUAGAGAUGGAGUCUCACUCUGUCACCCAGGCUGGGGUGCAGUGGUAUGAUCUCGGCUCACUGCAACCUCCGCCUCCCAUAUUCAAGCGAUUCUCCUGCCUCAGCUUAUUGAAUAGCUGGGAUUACAGGCAUGUGCCACCACACCCAGC